ensembl:miRNA
UCCAAAGCCACCUCUAUGCUGCGAUAGCUCAGGAACACUGCAGUCAAGAACACAUACUGGAGUGUUCCUGGGGUAUCACAGCGUAGGGGUGGUUUUGGA